CCGGUGUCUAGUUUUGCAAAUUGCACGCCAGCGAUGGAGAGAAGCUGUGCUCGUGUUCAGGGAGAAGGUUUCGAGCGACGAUGUCUGUCUCUCUUUGUGGUCUGUGUUCGGGGUCUCGUCCUGUCGUGCUCUGACGGUUCGGUGCCCGAGCAGCACCCGAGCUUUAACGCUGGCACUCGUGCUAGAAGCGAGUCAGGACCGGGACAAGGUCACGACCGUGUCAGGAUUAGCUCGCUCCGUGAAUCAUGCUUUAUCCUGGUUCUAUUUGUAUGACCAGACGAGAGAACAUUGAAAACGAAUGGGAUUUCAAUUGAAAUUGCUUGAAAUGGUUUGGAAUGCUCGAGAGCCCCUUCUAGUACGGCGGCGGGGGAGGGGGGUCAAUACGGAAAUCGUCACGCGAUCGUUUGAAGCGCUUUGGGCUUCGAUUCGCUUUCUGAUGACCCGGGUUCAGCAGUAGAAACGUAUUUCAAGGAGAAAUAGAACGUUCUGGACGACCCGUCUGUUUCUCCAACCCGGCGACUCAUUCGCACCGUCUUCUAUACGAUACGAAAGAUCCAAAAUAAGCGCGUGACGCGUAUCAGCACGCUAUCGGUCCGUUCGGGCGUCCCGUAUAUCAGGAAUCGUGUAGUAUUCACUGAGCCGUGCGUGUGGUGUGCCGACGUAGACCGUCUUUACGUCGUCACGUGUCGGACGUGACGCGCGGUCACGCUCUGGGUUUUUGCCGAGCGGCGUGUUUUCGGCGCGGUCGUUUUGUACGCUCGUCCGAAUCGGCGGUCCGAGGUCUAAGAGGAGUACCGGAGUAUGAGUCGCGUUAACGGGCGAAUACGGGGAGCUUUGCGACACGCCGAAUUCGGAAUUAGAGGUAUACAGUAUCCUGAAUAUGUUUUUUUUUUUUUUUUUUAGAUUAUACUUGUUUGUGUAUAAAGCCGACUCUUUACGAUCCAUCAAGGAAGCAUUCGUAUCAUUCCUGCGCAUUGCUGGUACACAAUGAAAACGAAGGUAUUUUAAGUCUUUUGCUGGAAUUAUAUCACUUACGGCAAAAUGUCUUCCACAGACUCAGAGUAUUAUUCUUUCUAACUGACAUGAAGUGUGCAUCAUCAACAGUUUCCUCACCGGUAUAAUUGAUUUGCACCUGAUGUGAAUGUUUUUUUUUUUAUUCCAACUGAGCCGACAGUUGGAUUAUUAACAAAUUAGGCUGUGUUUAACCGAGUUUGACGGUUAGCCAUAACACGGAAGGAAUAUAUCUCUGGAAUUGGUGUUCUGGGGUGUGUGUGUGUGUGUGUGUGUGUGUGUGUGAGUGGUGGGUUUGGAUGUGCACCCAGACCGUCUCUGACACAAUGAUUCACCAUUGGUUUCUGGGCUGUGCUCCAAUCAGGACGGCCAUCUGGUGACCAAUCAGAUCCCUGGCUGUGAUGACAGAGGGGCCAGACCUCGGCGUGAGCGCAGGCUGCUGUGAGAAAGUAAAUGCUCUGACUCGUGCAGACCUCUGCGCGUGCACGUGUGUAUGUACGUGUGUGUGUGUGUGAGAGAGAGAGAGAGAGAGAGAGAGAGAGAGACACGAAACAAAGAGGUCAGACGGGUGAGUCACGUAGUCACGGAGCGCCGGCUCGACAGCGUCAGACGGCGAAGAAAUCUCUGACACCUUUUUACAAGGCCGCAAAGGCUCGUCGUCGUAAAAAUAACGCCUGUAAUAAAACCGGUAACACGAUCAAGACUCACCCAGGACACGCGACGGAGUGACUGACAGCUCCAUUCCUCCUAACCUGAUUAAUAUUACCGCAGGAUCUCUCUAGCGGACGCGGCUGUAAUCUAAAAUAAGCGUAGCCCCGUCGGCCGCUAAUAAACCGAUCCCUCCCGCAGAGAGAGCCGGCGCUUUGCAGGGAAUCGUGCUGAAGCGGGCUUGCGCUAGCGGCCGUCCCCGAGUGGUAGGAGAGCUUCGAGAGAGGCGCCAGGCGAGAGAGAGAGAGAGAGAGAGGGUGACACUUCUAAACACGGAGGCUCAAAGUCGAAGUCUGGGAAAAGUCAUCUAGAGACCGAGGAGGAUUUAACAAGCGUAGCAUACUUAGUGUUAAAGCUACAGCUACAGCUCGGCGUUUAGUCUCUAGCAGCAUUUCGAAUUCACCUUUCGCAAACAGCGUCACUAUUUGAAGCUGUAACCAAUCCCCAUGACCGGAAUACAAGCUACAGCUAGCUUAUAAGCGCCACAUAGUGUAAUUAGCAGUACGUAUGGAGCUAACCUGCCACAGUGUACGGCGUGGAAGCUGUUGCUAGCCUUUAGCUGCUUACAAACCACUGCGAAGACUGCGGCUAGUUUGUAGCACGUGAUCUAGAACAAUGUCGACGCUAAAAGCUAGGGUAUAAAAGCACACAGUAACCGUUAAACUAGAGCUAGCAUAAACAAUACACAUCAUUAAUAUGGUGUUGCUCACAGCAGAAUAGCUAACGCUAAGCAGCACUUUCGUAGGAAGUGUUGCUAAUGAGACUCUGAUGCUAAUUUUUUGGUCUGGCUGAGAACGUCACGUGCGCAGUCACAGCCUGUCAUUACCGAGCGUUCGUAGCCUUGCUAAUGCUAAUCGCCGUGGUGUAUUAUUGAUGCUAGCCUCACACACAGAAGGACCAGUUAGACAGGGGGAGGGGUCUGGAGAAGAGGAAAGUUAGCCAGAUAAGGGUAAGGGUAUCGACCUGACUGAGUUGCUGCCAUGGCAACGACAUUGAGGCAGAUGUGUGUUUGUGUGUGUUCCUGUUGAGAGAGCGUGCGCUUGUGCAGUGGAGGUAGCGUCCCCACGGUUCAUCCUCUGUACGUGACAUAGUAGUAAUAAGGGACGUUAUCUUCCGUGCUGUGUGUGUGUGUGUGUGUCGUCCCCGAAGACCUCCAUCUGCCUAAAUGAGUAGCAGCGGCUGCUAGCCGCUAGCAGAACAAAGGGUCAGGGCUGAGUGCCCAGCUCUCCUCCGUCUUCCAUGGCCGCGGUGCUGAACACUUGCGCUCCGCUUUAGCGCGGCGUUAAUUAACCUCAGCGCUGCACCGAGCGCCGUGCUCAAUGACCAAAUUAAGCAGCGCUGAUGUCAAAGCAUGAGUGUGGCAAAAAAAAAUCAAUGCGCCGGGGCCAUUGUUUUUCACAAGGCACAAUCGAGGGCAUGUUUACGCCCUCAAAACACACACACACACAAUCGCAUUUCCACUGAAUCCUACUGCUGCUCUUUCUUAUAAUUUAGUAAUUUCAGUAAUUAGUUUUUAGUCUUUGCAUCAAAGUUUAAGCGUGCCUGGGGGUGGAGCUUACGUUAAAUCUGAAUAACCAGUCGCGAACCUAUCACGUGACAUCGCCAUCACCACAGAGCUGCGCUUAGCAUAAACCGCUAGCUGAAAGGACUAGCUUGGACUGCAGUGCAUUAGCAGUGUUAAGAUAUUUAGCCCCCUAAAUGCAGUGAAAGUUGUAAACAUCUGCUAGCUUGGGUAGCGUUAACGUCACCGGGG
ensembl:lncRNA